UACAGAGGUCCCAAGCGUUGUUCGGAUUCACUGGGCGUAAAGGGUGCGUAGGUGGUGAGGUAAGUCGGAUGUGAAAUCUCCGAGCUCAACUCGGAAAUGGCAUUGGAAACUACCUUGCUCGAGGGUUGGAGGGGGGACUGGAAUGCUUGGUGUAGCAGUGAAAUGCGUAGAGAUGUGGAGGAACACCAGUGGCGAAGGCGACUCUUUGGUCUGUAACUGACGCUGAGGCGCGAAAGCGUGGGGAGCAAACAGG
rnacentral:rRNA from 1 species